AACGUGUGAGAAAUAUGAGUUCACCUGUGGAAAUGGAAAGUGUCUCAGCAAAUAUCUUCGUUGUUGGAAUGGAAAUAACUGUGGUGAUAAUUCAGAUGAACGACAGUGCCCGGUUGUGUCCAAAUACCAAAAAUCUUUGCAGGAGUUGAGGGUCCCCAAUAGGUUUUCCAGGAUCCGGGAUUGGGCUUAUUUGCAGGAGCGAGAUGCGGGAUUGUCACUAUGAACGGCACACGAGAAUCGGCAAUUUUGAGGGGCGGGAUUCGGGAAACAAUAAUCUAAACGCACCGAGAACCGGGCCAUCCGUUGACGGGAAUUUAUAAAAAGAUUGUUCUACGUCAAAGUCCUAAAAAGCCAAAGCCUAGCUUCCCACGCAGCCGUUUUUAUGAGAUCGUGUUUCACUUCUUUCCACAAACGCGUUUAUAACCUGGUGAGUCUUACGACCAUAGAAGUGGAGAGUGCUCAUUCAGUUGUGCAUUUAUUACAAAGAUCCACUUUGAUCGGUGUUAAUUUACGCAAGAAACUUUGAAAAUGCAGACAAAAAAGCCUUAGAGAGGACAACCCAGUAAAGGGUGUAUUAUUUUACAAAUUCAAAGUCUUUGUAUCCUGCACCCGAACUUGCCAUGAUCCUGUCGGCCAUACCGACAUACCAUUCAAAUAAUAUCACCUGUACCAAUAGCACCAUAGAAUAUGCAGAACAUGAAGGACUGGGCGCAAACAUUUUGGUGUUGCGGUGCGUCAGAUGGAAAAAGCUGGAACUCUCCCGUCGUACCUCGAUUAGAGAGAAAUUCAGCCAUGUCAACCGCUCAGCUUCGAACUGUCUGACCUCAGGGAGCAGCAAAGAAAAAAAAAAGAAAAAAGACAGACGAAGAGGAAAAUGAGAUAUUAGAGUAAGAUUCCCUAACAGCGAUGAAGAAUCGAAUAAGCCAUUUCUGGACGACGAGACCAGAUGUGAUGAUGGUCACUCUAUCUUUGGAACGAGAGACUCAUUAUCUCCGCGGAAGAUUUUUCCCGCUUUGGAGGAAGUAUUCGCUUCAACAGCAAAAUUGUGUUCAGUUGACUUUUCGUAGUUUCCCUUGUUAUGGAAGCAAUGGGAUUGCCGUCACCUUUUUUUUUGUUUUAUGCACUUGUUGACAAUUUUAUUCGUUUCCUUGAUACUGACCUGUCUUUACUUAUAUGUUUAUCCGAGAUCGAAGUUAGAACGGAAGGAAAUCGUCUCCGUGACUGGCGUAAGUUAUUCGUGAAAAACUUUGAAAACUUCUAAAAUGAAUGGUAUCGUUUGGAGAGAGUUAAACUUACGCCUCGCGGUGAGCAAAGACAUCAACAGAUCAGUGCUGGUAGAGAAGAUCAUCACCCAUCGUAAAAGGCCCUUUCAAGUUGAGCGAAUGGACGAAGAACAAAAAUUUAUGAUCGGGAUCAGGAUUGGCCGGUAUAAACCGUCGGGAUUACGGGACUUAAGUCGGGAUCGCGCGAUUAAAGAACCCUAUUGGGGACCCUUGGUGUUUGUUCAUGAUAUGUAAAUCAGAAUUCGAAGUAUUAAAGUUUGACAUUAAGCAUAA